AAACCAACUGGGAUUACCUUAGUAACGGCGAGUGAAGCGGUAAAAGCUCAAAUUUGAAAUCUGGUACUUUCAGUGCCCGAGUUGUAAUUUGUAGAAUUUGUCUUUGAUUAGGUCCUUGUCUAUGUUCCUUGGAACAGGACGUCAUAGAGGGUGAGAAUCCCGUUUGGCGAGGAUACCUUUUCUCUGUAAGACUUUUUCGAAGAGUCGAGUUGUUUGGGAAUGCAGCUCAAAGUGGGUGGUAAAUUCCAUCUAAAGCUAAAUAUUGGCGAGAGACCGAUAGCGAACAAGUACAGUGAUGGAAAGAUGAAAAGAACUUUGAAAAGAGAGUGAAAAAGUACGUGAAAUUGUUGAAAGGGAAGGGCAUUUGAUCAGACAUGGUGUUUUUUGCAUGCACUCGCCUCUCGUGGGCUUGGGCCUCUCAAAAAUUUCACUGGGCCAACAUCAAUUCUGGCAGUAGGAUAAAUCAUUAAGAAUGUAGCUACCUCGGUAGUGUUAUAGCUUAUUGGAAUACUGCU
rnacentral:rRNA from 1 species